rnacentral:lncRNA from 1 species
CGCUUGCGGAUCAUUUCCUUAUUGCGUUACCAAAUAUCAACAAGCAUUUCUGGCGCCGUUGCCGGGGAGAAAGACGGUUUGCUGAGAUAACUUUGAGUCUUGCUAUUAUCUUGUAUUAUACUUUUAUACUUUUAUUCUUUUAUCUUUUUAUUUUUAUCUUUAUGGAUAACUUAAAUUCCAUACCUAUUUUUGAAUUUUUUGCACCUUCGGAGACCAGCCAUAGACCAUGGGAGUCAACACGUCCUGCCCCUAAUUAUGAUCUGUGUCCGGAGUUGAUUGCAAUAGGUCAAAACCAACCCUUUUCUAUAGC